ensembl:lncRNA
UUUUCUGCGCAUUUCUGCACUAACUCAAAACGUGCAUACGCAUGCUCAGCUGAGCUGGCGUAGGAUUUGAGAGUGCCGUACGCCAACGUCCAUAUUGAUAAAUCUCACCGUGGUUUUGGGUGUACGUUGGAAGUUUGGUGUACGCACUUUUGAUAAAUGAGGGCCAAUAGGCGUACCACAGCCGGGAAACCAAAACCUUUAUGCCACAAAGUGUGCUAAGUAUUGAAUUUUUUUGAUUUGUUACAGGCAUAUUAUAUAUUUGCAGAAAGCUUAGAAUCUCGUUAAUCUAGCCGCAUUAUGCAAUUUAACGUAGCUAUUACGGCGACUAACUCCUAUGCACGUGUUUGAGUAUAGUCAACAUCCACAAAAAUGUCGCUAGUUUGGUGUCUGACGGUAAAUUGUGUACUUGUGUCUUCUUUUGAUUUCUUAUAUUGAUGGUCCCAGAGAUAUAGCCAAGCAUCGUUUUGUUUGAAAAAAUCCGUUUUAAAUUGACAACGAUUACUGUUCUUCAGCGAAAUCCAACUCGAUCAACUCGGCGCAAAACUAUUCAUGAUAUUCAAAACCCUUACUAGGUUUUAAUACAGCAUAAUUGGUAUUUCUGAAAAGAGAGUCUCGAGCAUUUAACCAGCCAUGGUGUAUCCUUCUGCAUGCCCUCUAUGCUUCGUAUGACGUCAACAAAUACAUGCAGUCUGGCAAGGGAUUCAAACUCUACGUAUCGAGUUAUCUGCACAACUAAGAGGUUGCCAAGAUGCGUUGUUGACCUGGGGGAUGCUGUUGCCUGGGUAAAUGCCAACACGGGCCUCUUCUGAGACCGGGUACAAGUCCUCACCCCUGAAUGAUGAGGAAAUACAGGGUGCUGUGCAGAUGCUCAGAGAGGCAGAACAAGAAGCUUUCUCCCCAUUCAUGUUUUUGUUUAAUAAUUUUGAAGACACUGAAACAUUCAUGGAUGAAAUAGACAAAAGAGGUGAUUUUAUGUGAUAAUCUUGAGCACCCCUCAUCAUCUUUUGAAUGCCCCCUGGGGGGUGGUACUGUAGUAUGAGGGAUAAAGGUAAACCCCUUUGAAUGCUAUACUGAGUGGAAAGGUUAGGA